CAAGUUUCCAUUCUGUAUCUAUUCUGUGGUAGAAGUAAUUAUUUUGUUCUUAUUACUUUAUACUUACUUCUCUCCUGUGCGUAGUAACCUGCAACACACGUUUUCACAACGCUCACCUAAAGAUUUGAGAUAUUUAAAAUAAAUUUCGCUCUUAAGGAUGGAGGACACGAACCCUCCAACUACGCUUUCAUCCCAGCCAAGCCUGAAAAGCUCACUCUGAGUCGUUGAUAGGUUCAUGAUGACAAAAGUGUCUAGAUUUCAGAUAAUGUUUUUGAAAACGUGACAGCCCUGCAACCCGUGAAAGAAGGGAGGGGGCCUUCCACAUUGCCGAUGAGCUUCAACAUUGUAUGCGAUUUCCAAACUGUGGCUAAACAAAUUUAAAAAUUUCGUCGAGCCCGGUGCAGUUGAAAACGACGAUUUAUUUUGCUUGCUUGCCUCUUGCGUUUACAAGGACCAUAAACAAAUGUCCGUACAAGUUUCAGCUUCUUCAUGGGAUUCCAUUUUGCAAAAAAUGCCAGUCGGAGGGGAAAACCUACGACUUUAUGGCAACUAUAUGCCACAAAGAAGAGAGUACUAAUAGCGGACAUUACAUUUGCUACGCGUUUAAGGACAAAGAAAAAAUCUGGUUUGAAUAUGAUGACAAACGUGUGAUCAAGGUCACAGAUGACAAGCUUGCCAGAAUCACAAGAAAACGUGACAGCCCUGCAACCCGUGAAAGAAGGGAGGGGGCCUUCCACAUUGCCGAUGAGCUUCAACAUUGUAGGCGAUUUCCAAACUAUGGCUAAACAAAUUUAAAAAUUUCGUCGAGCCCGGUGCAGUUGAAAAUGACGAUUUAUUUUGCUUGCUUGCCUCUUGCGUUUACAAGGACCAUAAACAAAUGUCCGUACAAGUUUCAGCUUCUUCAUGGGAUUCCAUUUUGCAAAAAAUGCCAGUCGGAGGGGAAAACCUACGACCUUAUGGCAACUAUAUGCCACAAAGAAGAGAGUCCUAAUAGCGGACAUUACAUUUGAUACGCGUUUA